GACUCCAUUUGCGACAAGGGUAUAGAUACCUCUUUAUCUCACCAUCGAAAGCGGACGCUGUGCGCUGGUUUCUGUCGGCACCCGGUCCGGCGUCUGUGGCUGUCGGUCACCUGCUUUCGCACCUACAAAUGCAUACACAAUGGGCGAGGUUUCGGCCACCGCAACAACCAUCUCGGGCGACACCAUCGUUCUCGACAUUAGCGCUGAGAACGUCUACGGUUUCCAGCCCGGGCAGAUUGUUCACUUCACGAAAAGCCUGCGGAAUGGAAAGGUGGCCCUCAUCCGCGGCAUCAACGAAGGGCUGCUCUGGUUUGCCGUGCUGCCGGAUGUCGCCAGCGCAGCCAGUAAGCAGGCGCUGCACGUGCCUGUCAGUACUGUGAGCUGCCGCGGAAAGGAGGAACUCAUUCGCCAGUACGGGUGGAUGGUGGAUGAUACAAGGAACCCGUUUGCCGUGGCACCAGCACCGUAGAACAAGUUCGACAGCACAAUAUUUCACUGCUUGUGCUUGAGUUUGCCCGUAUGCGUCCUCUACUCCACGUAACCACACUCUGGACUCCGUGCGCAUGCUUCAGCUCUUCAAUGGGCCCUCGGUACCACGCACAGUUGUCACGGACCUUUUUUUUUUGCAUGGGCGUGGGCGCAAUAUUUCCUUCACG
rnacentral:misc_RNA from 1 species